rnacentral:lncRNA from 1 species
AUUUCAGAGAACAUUAAGGGUUGGCGCCGUUGCAGUGGUGGCUGCAGAGGUGAUAUGUGGACAAUUGGCAGGUCCAAAGGUGCAGAGGGGAAGAAUGCAGCAGUUUUCUCCUCCACAGCAAGAUGAACAUUGCAGUGGGCAUACCAUGGAGCCAGACCACCAGCAGAGCAUUAAACAGGGACAGAUGUGAAUGCCAGGAUAAAAAUGAAGACAUUCCUGAACUGAACAAAACAUUUGACUCUUGGGAAAAGCAAAACCAGUGCCCUGUGAUGCCUUCAUGCAUUAUGAGACUGGGACCUGACUACAGAUGA